UACGGAGGGUGCAAGCGUUAUCCGGAUUCACUGGGUUUAAAGGGUGCGUAGGUGGGCUAGUAAGUCAGUGGUGAAAUCUCCGGGCUUAACCCGGAAACUGCCAUUGAUACUAUUAGUCUUGAGUACCAUGGAGGUGAGCGGAAUAUGUCAUGUAGCGGUGAAAUGCUUAGAUAUGACAUAGAACACCAAUUGCGAAGGCAGCUCCCUACACAGCCAUUGACGCUGAGGCACGAAAGCGUGGGGAUCAAACAGG
rnacentral:rRNA from 1 species